UGUAGUCAUAUGCUUGUCUCAAAGAUUAAGCCAUGCAUGUCUAAGUAUAAACAACUCUAUACUGUGAAACUGCGAAUGGCUCAUUAAAUCAGUUAAAGUUUAUUUGAUAGUACCUUACUACUUGGAUAACCGUAGUAAUUCUAGAGCUAAUACAUGCUAAAAUACCCGACUUCUGGAAGGGUUGUAUUUAUUAGAUAAAAAACCAAUGCACUUCGGUGGUCACUGGUGAUUCAUAAUAACUUCGCGAAUCGCAGGGCCUUGCGCCGGCGAUGAAUCAUUCAAAUUUCUGCCCUAUCAACUUUCGAUGGUAAGGUAUUGGCUUACCAUGGUGACAACGGGUAAUGGGGAAUUAGGGUUCGAUUCCGGAGAGGGAGCCUGAGAAACGGCUACCACAUCCAAGGAAGGCAGCAGGCGCGCAAAUUACUCAAUCCUGACACAGGGAGGUAGUGACAAUAAAUAACAAUACGGAGCUUUUUCAAGUUUCCGUAAUUAGAAUGAGUACAAUUUAAACCACUUAACGAGUAACAAUUGGAGGGCAAGUCUGGUGCCAGCAGCCGCGGUAAUUCCAGCUCCAAUAGCGUAUAUUAGAGUUGUUGUGGUUAAAAAGCUCGUAGUUGAACCUUGGGCCUGGCUGGCCGGUCCGCCUCACCGCGUGCACUGGUCCGGCCGGGCCUUUCCCUCUGUGGAACCCCAUGCCCUUCACUGGGUGUGGCGGGGAAACAGGACUUUUACUUUGAAAAAAUUAGAGUGCUCCAGGCAGGCCUAUGCUCGAAUACAUUAGCAUGGAAUAAUGAAAUAGGACGUGCGGUUCUAUUUUGUUGGUUUCUAGGACCGCCGUAAUGAUUAAUAGGGACAGUCGGGGGCAUCAGUAUUCAAUUGUCAGAGGUGAAAUUCUUGGAUUUAUUGAAGACUAACUACUGCGAAAGCAUUUGCCAAGGAUGUUUUCAUUAAUCAGGAACGAAAGUUAGGGGAUCGAAGACGAUCAGAUACCGUCGUAGUCUUAACCAUAAACUAUGCCGACUAGGGAUCGGACGAUGUUAUUUUUUGACUCGAUCGGCACCUUACGAGAAAUCAAAGUGCUUGGGCUCCAGGGGGAGUAUGGUCGCAAGGCUGAAACUUAAAGGAAUUGACGGAAG
rnacentral:rRNA from 1 species